CACAGGUGCUGCAUGGCUGUCGUCAGCUCGUGUCGUGAGAUGUUGGGUUAAGUCCCGCAACGAGCGCAACCCUUGUCAUUAGUUGCUACAUUCAGUUGGGCACUCUAAUGAGACUGCCGGUGACAAGCCGGAGGAAGGUGGGGAUGACGUCAAGUCCUCAUGGCCCUUAUAGGUGGGGCUACACACGUCAUACAAUGGCUGGUACAAAGGGUUGCCAACCCGCGAGGGGGAGCUAAUCCCAUAAAGCCAGUCGUAGUCCGGAUCGUAGUCUGCAACUCGACUACGUGAAGUCGGAAUCGCUAGUAAUCGUGGAUCAGAAUGUCACGGCGAAUACGUUCCCGGGUCUU
rnacentral:rRNA from 1 species